rnacentral:tRNA from 1 species
GGGGCUGUAGCUCAGUUGGGAGAGCGCUUGAAUGGCAUUCAAGAGGUCGUCGGUUCGAUCCCGUCCAGCUCCACAA